CUUCUUGUGCACAUAUUAUCAUUCUGGGAAUCUUGUUACCCUAGUUACCCCAGAAUGUUUCCUUCUGACUGCAUUCUUUCUAUCUGUAAGUAACUCUUUUACUCAACAGGGAACAAGGGGCCAGAUGGCAUGCAGACAUGUGCUUAAGGCUGGGGGCCUUGUUGGCAGAGGAAGUAUGGCUGCUGAAGCCAUUCCAUUCUGCCAGGUGAGUAUCCUUGAAGCAACUCAUUCAGAUAACCAAGCCAGAAGACUGUUGACUGUGUGGAGUGGAAGAUGUUGGUAGGGGCCCAGGUGUGUGCUGCUUUCAGAGGUUAUUUACAUGGAAGUGAACGCAGUAGAAGAAUGAAUUUAUUUGGAAAAUCUGGUGGAUUCAGGUGGAGAAACUGAGCAGACUUUGGCUUUGCAUUAGCACUGUGCACAAGAGCUGGUGGUGAGGACAUCUCUUGUAACAUUUUUAUGCCUCUUUAUAUAUAAGAAUAAAUUUAUGGAGAACUUUUUCCAUGCUUCUUAAAAAAGCAUUAUACAAUUGAGCUAAUUGCCUCCCUUCUCUCUUGUUCUCUAUUCUUGUAUUUCUAUAGCAGCUCUCAUAAUAGUACCUACACACUCUAAUAAGAGAACUAGUGAAGACGUGGGAGGAAAUGUUUCUUUUUCCAGGACAAGAUUACGCUAAGGUCAAAAGUCAACAAGAGGAACUGUCCCUAUUUUUCUUAAAGUCUACCUCAAGUCUAGCAGGAUUUUAAGGAAAUCAUAGUUUAUUGCCAUCACUAGUAUCCAUUUUCUCAAACUACUUGUUUAAGACAAACUCCCUUGGCACAGUGCUGGGCCCUGUCUCUGGUCUUGCCACAGGGACUCUCUGUUAAAGGAUCAAAUAGUGGAAAUGAAGUCUUCAAAGAGUUUAUUGAGGUGGUUGCAGAAGUAGAUACUGCAGAUGUCCUUUGGAGCACUCAUGAAAUUUCAUUUCCUGCUGACUGGUGAAACCUUGCUAAUAUCUUAUAUGGAUUUCUAUAAAUACAGCUACCAGUAUGGAAAGGAACCAGUCAUACAAGUGAGCUGUAUAGUGCCCCAUAUAUGUUUCUCAAUCAUAUCUGUACGUGUGUAUGUAUGACUACUUAUUCCUUGUAACAUUUUUAUAUAGCAUACCCUCCUGUUACACUUAGUAAUGUUACAUAAAUGAAGAAGGCAAGUGGUCUCUGGGGAGGUGAAGUAAGAUGUGUAUGGGGAUUGUUAUUUGAAUGCUAGGACCUCUCAUUUGAACAUUUCUAGUUUUAACUACCACACUAUUUGCUGUUCUGGCUUGUUAUCAUUUUAACCUGAGCAUAAUUCCUGUGUGACUUUGAAGACUCUUUGUGAACAGCUUUCAAGACUCAAAUGUUAAAGGGUUAGUUGGCAAAUGGUGAGCUUUGAGAAGUGGUUAGAUCAAGAGGGCCCUGGCCUCAUUAAGAGAUUCACGAUUCAGCAGCAUAGGAAGGCUGUAGAAAGUAGGAGGUUUGGCCUUGCUGGAGGAAGUAGGCCACUAGAUACAUGACAAUAAAGGUUAUACAAUUCUUCUCUUGUUCUGUUUCCUGGCCAUUUCCUAUGAGCUUCUUUGUGCCACCAAUGGUUCCUGCCUUGUCACUGCACUGGUGAAAGUGCAUCAACAUAAAAUAGCACAAAAAUGGUAGAACCUUUAAAACCUUGGUCCUCUGUAGAAGAAGUGCAGGGACAAAGAUGCAGUAGAGAUGGUGGGAAUGGCUAAUCAAUGAAUGGGCCAAUUUGAGACCUAUCCCUCAGCAAGAAGUACUCCCUGACACUAUUAAUGAUGCACUGUUAUGAUUGCAGAUUGAAGCUUAGCAUAACUGUCCUCUGAGAGGCUCCACCCAACAGCUGACCAAAACAGGUACAGAGACCCACAUCCAAACAGACAGAGCUCAGUGGGGCAGCAGUGGGGAAGGAUUGAGGGAAAUGGAGGUGAUAAGGACUCCAUAAGAAGACCAACAGAAUCAACUAACCUGGAGUCUUGGAGGCUCUCAGAGACCGAAUCACCAAUGCAAUACUGAGCAUGGGCUGGACCUAGUUCUUCCUCAUGAUGUAGCAGGAACAGUGUGAGGGGGGACUGGGUGGAGAGGAGCCUGUGAUGGGGAGCUAAAGUAUAUAAAUAAAAUAAUAGAGAAAAAGAAAUGAAUGUAGUGUUAGUAAGAAUUUAAAAAAAUAAAAGAACCCAAUGUGAAACUCAAUGAUCAUGUAUAAAAACUUCUGAAACUAAGAAGCAGACUAAUACAUAUCUCCCACAAUUUAACUCCUCAAGACACAAUGAUGAAGAGAAGAGAAUGACUGACCAGUGGGCAUGGACUUCUGCCUCAAAAUAGGCAUGUAAGUCUUAGAGCGAAUCAGAAAUCAUACCUGCAAAAUGUUAAAUUUGUAUAAAAUUAAGACCUGGUUUCUGUCCCAUCUAAUCAGGAAACUGUAUUAUUGCCUUAUGGUAGGGACAAAAUUCCUAAUAAACACAACUCAAGGAGCAAAAGGUUAUUUUACCCCAUGAUCUGUGGCUGUAGUCCAUGGCAAGAAAAUACUGACAUCAGGAGCUUGAUGCAGGGAAGCACAUUGCAUAUCUGUUAGGGAGCAGAGAGCGAUGAGAUGCUCAGUUUGCAUCCUUCUUUUAAAAUAAACCAUCAAAGAAUUACUCACUUAGUGACCUUCUUUCACAUCUUGCUUGUUAGAAGCUUUAUAUAAUGCUGGUUAAUUUAAAAGAAGAAAGAAAGAAAAAGAAAGAAAGAAAGAAAGAAAGGAAGGAAGGAAGGAAGGAAGGAAGAAAGAAAGAAAGAAAGAAAGAAAGAAAGAAAGAAAGAAAGGAAGGAAGGAAGGAAAGUCCCCCAAUAACUGGAAUGGAGGCUUACCCUGAAGGGAAGGAAGGAAAUAAGGAAUGAAGGGAGGAAAAGAAAGGAAUUCUAUCCUGGAAUGUGUUGGGACAGAAAGAGGCAGAGAGGCCCAUGAUCGGUCUCGGAAGGCUUCCUAGAGGAGGUUCGAAGGGCUCAUUAUGACAGUAAAUUGAUGGACCAAAGAAGGAUUUAUUCAACUCUAUUUGUGGAAUCAGUCUCCCUGUUAACAUAAGAUAUAUGAAGAUGAUAUUUACAGCAGUCUUGGGGCUAAAAGAGCUAAGGCUUAGAGAGAAAAAUGUCUUGCUCUGAGUCACAUAAUUCUUGUAGGCUCCAAGUCAGUAUCCAAACCUUUCCACAUUCUUGUGGCACAUGACUCUGAAAUCUAUGCAGGCAGCUGGGGGGACAUAGCCCCAACUCUCAGUAUGCCGUGCAGUUUUAGUCCUCUUGCUCUACCCUGAACCAUUGGCACAAACAGACACAGGAGAGCCUUUCCACUUCUCUGCCCAUCCCCAUUGUUCAGGCUGGGGUCCUACCAUCUAAGCAAAUAUCAGCAUUCAGAUGUGGGAAGUCUGUGCCUUCCUGAAGCUGAGUGUCAACUGUGUGGUUCACAGGUAAUCACAAGGCCAUCAACUGGGUGUAUCAGUCUCUUUUAUGUUACUAUGGCAAUAGUACCUAAGAGAAACAGCUUACAGAGAAGGGUUCAUUUUGCUUCAUAUUUAGAAGGGCCUGUCCAUUAUGGACAAGAAGGCACAGUGUUCACAGCAGUACAGAAUGCUAUAUUCUCCUGCCACAGUUGGUCAGGCACACUGAAUUGUGGGUUAUAACCCACAAAGACUUGCCCUCAGUGAUGGCUUCUGCUAAAUAAGCUUCACCCUCUAAAGUGCUUACCAGGCUCCAACACAGCGACAAAAGCUUGGAAACAAAAGCCGAUGGGGAUGUUAUACACAAAGGGGAGAGGUUAAAAUAUUUUGGCCUUUCAUGACUUACUUGCACAGAACUCUGAAACUGCUAGUAGAAAUCGUAAGAAAAAUACUUUCUGGGAUAAGAAUAGCGAACAAGAAAUAUCUAAAAGAGACUGAAGUCAUGCAUCACGAAAUGUCACAUAUGCACAAAUGAGAGCACAUGAUAUUAAAAAGCUUCUCCAUGAGUUUGCAGAAGGACACAGUGGGUAAGAUGAAGGGGUAAGAACCUGAGUUUGAAUCUAUAGAAGCCAUGAGAAGUAAGGUAUGAUGGAACACAUCUGUAAUGCUAGUAUUCCUUCAGGAAGGUGGGAGGUCAACAUAGAGUCUGUGAAUGGGAGAGAGGGCAGUAGGCCUGGAGUAGACAUUAUCAAUCAGCAAGGAGAUCCUGUCUCAGAAAAGAUGAAAAGGGAGGACUGACCCAUUGUUCUCUGGUCUCCAUUCAGAUUCUAUGGCAUUCACAUAUGCACCCUCAGUCACACAUUCGGGAACACAUGGAUUACGCACCACAUAACCACACCCCCACACCCACAUUUUUGCAGAACAAAGAGAAGUAUCAACAAAAUGAAGAUGUAGCCUAAAGAAUGGAGAAAAUAAUUUCACCAUGGAGUUAAUAUAUAAGAUAUAUAAAGAAUUGAACAAACAAGCAAAGCCAUAAGUAAAAAUUAUUCAAAGAAUAGUAAUUGGUCAAAUGAAUUCAAGAAGAAUUUUCUCAAAAGAAAAAGUUUGACCUUCUUAGCUAUCAGAGAAAUAUGAAUUAAAACUACUAUAAGAUUCCUUCUCAGACCAGUAAGAAUAGUCCUCAUGUGUGUAUGUGUGUGUGUGUGUGUAUCAUAUAUAUGUAUGUGUAUGUCAUAUAUAUAUAUAUAAUAUAUAUAUAUAUAUAUGAAAAAGAGGUUAUUAACUUGAAAGUGAGGGACACAGGAGUGGUUUUAGAAAGAGUACCUAAGAGGAAAAUGGAGGAAAGUGAUGUAAUUCUAUUUUAACUAAAACACAUUGAAAUAAAAUUAUCCAAUGAUAUGGUAAAAAAACAAUCCUUUGCAAUUGGUUAUUAUGCUAUAGCUGAAAAAUCAUCACUGCAGUGGUUCCUCAAAAAAAGAUAAGUAUAAGAAAGAAAGAAGAAAGAAGUUAGAAAGAAAGAAGUAAGAAAGAAUGGAAAGAGAGAGAGAGAGAGAGAGAGAGAGAGAGAGAGGAAGGGAGGACUGAUGGAAGGAAGGAUGGAAAAAAGCAAAGAAAGUCAAAUAGAACUACCAUAUGAUCCAACUGUAGUCACUUUCGGGUACACCUCUAAAGGAAUUCACGUCAGUACAGAGAGAUAUUUGCAUAUCUGUGAUUACUGCUACAUCAUUCCUAGUAGCCAAGGAGUGGAGCGAGCAUAGAUACUCAUCAGUAAAAGAAUGGAUGCCUGAAAUAUGUUACACAUGCACAAAAAAGAUUCAUUCAGAUAUGAAGAAGACUUAAAUCAAAACAUUUGCAUGAAAAUUGAUGUUUUACCCUGUAUGUAGACUCUAGAUUUCCAAGACUUAUGUACAUGUGUACACAGACAUAAAGAUCUGUAUUGAAACCAAGUGAGGGACUGCAUGGAAGCAGGAAAAAGCUAACAAGACUAGAGGAAAGUAGAGGGUACUUUUAUUUUUUGGUUUUUUUAUUUUAUUUUUUAUUUUUGACAUAUACAUGUAUUUUGUAGACAGAAGAAGGAUGAUUCAUAAAAAUAGGCAGUUAUAGAAAAAGAAAGGGGUGGGAAUGAAUAGGAGAAAAAUACAACAAAACACAUAUAUCUUGAAGUAUAAAGAAGGAGGAGAAGACAAGGAAACUGCAGCAGUAGAGAUAAAUUCAAGUACGAUGCCCUCCAACAGUCAGACAAGCCUUCUGUACAAGAUACUUCAUUCGUUUACACAAGCACGAUACAACUCAACAUUGUUGAAUACCUCAUCCAAAAAUCGUAGAACAAGUGACAGCUGGUUUUAUUUGCUGUCAGUCAGACCCCAAUCCUAACUACUUUCUGCUAUAAGAUAUGGCCAAUUCCAGGUAUUUAAGGACUAAAAUGGAAUGUUAUACUUAGUCUCUCACUUAGAAUCACUCAAAACUGCACUGUCCUGCUCAGGAUGUGCUGAACGCUCUGAUCGUCGGCGCUUAGGCUGUUCUGCGGCACGCCCACUUGCAGUCGGUAUCGUUCCUUAGUGUUCUCUACAGCACUCUGCUUCUUUCCUUUCCUUCAUAUCCAUUUCUCACUUAAUCGGCCCCAUCUCCAGCAAAACCACUCAUUCUAACUGAAUCCUGUCCAAUUCAGGAACAUGGGUGCUCAUUCGUUUUAUUUCCAUGAUUAUCAAUAUUGCAUUUUUCCAAUGUCUGUUGUUCCUCUCUUCAACUAUGUUUCAUCAGGUCUCUUUGUUACAGGUAUAGCUAACAAGAUCAUUACUUGUUUACACUGUUUGCAUCAAUCAGCUUGUCUUUGCUGUGAGAAAAUACUCAUGAUGAUUAAAAUAUCAGUUGUCGGAUUGAUGAGAUCUAGAACCCCCUGGGAAAUGAGGCUCUGGGCAUGCCUGGAAGGUUACCUCGAUCAGGUUAACAGAGAUAGGAAAACUCACUUACUAUGAGUGGCAUUGUUUCCUGGUCUGGGAUACUGAACUGAUAAAGAGGAGAAAGUGAGCCUAUUCUACAAAUACAUUGUCUCUGCUUCAUGAUUUUGGAUCUGUGAGAAAAGCUGCCUCGAUUCCUGCUGUCAUGACUUUCUCUAGGACACACUACAACAUUGAACACUUCUGGCUAUUACAAAUAAAGCUGCUAUGAACAUAGUGGAACAUGUGUCCUUGUUAUAUGUUGAAGCACCAUUUCAGUGUAAAGAGUGGAAUAAAUGGGUCCUCAGGUAGUACUAUGUCCAAUUUUCUUAAGAUCCACCAGACUGAUUUCCAAAGUGAGUAUACCAGCUUGCAAUCCCACCAUCAGUGGAGAAAUGUUUCCAUUUCUUCACAUCCUCACCAGCAUCUGCUGUCACCUGAGUUUUUGAUCUUAGUCAUUCUGAUUGGUGUGAGAUGGUAUCUCAGGGCCAUUUUAAUUUGAAUUUUCCUGAUUAUUAGGGAUGUUGAACAUUUCUUUAGGUGCUCCUGGGUUGUCGAUAUUCCUCAGUGGAGAAUUCAUGGUUUAGCUUUAUAUUCCAUUUUUUUAAGUAUGACUAUUUGUUUUCCUUGAUUCUAACUUCUUGAGUUCUUUGUGUAAAUGGAAUAUUAGUUCUCCGAAAGUUGUAAGAUUGGUAAAGAUGUUUUCCCAGUCUGUUGGUUGCUGUUUUGUUCUAUUGACAGUGUCAUUUGUCUUACAAAAGCUUUGGCAAUUUUAUGAGAUCCUAUUUAUCAAUUCUUGAUCUUAGAGCAUAAGCCAUUAGUGUUCUGUUGAGAAAAUUUCCCUCUGCGCCUAUGUGUUCAAUGCUCCCCCCCCCCCUUCUCUUCUCUUAGUUUCAGUGUAUCUGGUUUUAUGUAGAAGUCCUUUAUCCACUUGGACUUGAGUAUUAUACAAGAAAAGAAUGGGUCAAUUUGCAUUCUUCUACAUGCUGACCUCCAGUUGAACCAGCAUCAUUUAUUGAAAAUACUGUGUUUUUUUUUUCCCAUUGAAUACUUUUUAUCUCCUUUUUCAAAGAUGAAGUGACCGUAGGUGUGUGGGUUCAUUUCUUGGUCAUCAAUUCUACUCCACUGAUCUACCUACCUUUCUCUGUACCAAUACCCUGCAAUUUUUAUAUCAAUUGCUUUAUAUUAUAGCUUGAGGUCAGGGAUAGUGAUUUUCCCCAGAAGUUCUUUUAUUAUUCGGGUAGUUUUUGCUACCCUGGGUUUUUGUUAUUCCAAAUGAAUUUGCAAAUUGCUUUUUCUAACUCUAAGAAGAAUUGAGAAGGAAUUUGGUUGAGGAUUGCAUUGAAUCUGAAGGUAGAUUUGCAGAAUGACCAUUUUUACUAUAUUAAUCCUGCCAAUCCAUGAGCAUGGUAGAUAUUUCCAUUUUCUGAGAUCUUUGCUUUCUUUCUUCUGAGACUUAACGUUCUUGUCAUACAGAUCAUUCACUUGUUAGGUUACAUUCAUCCCAAGACAUUUUAUAUUAUUUAUGACUAUUAUGAAGGGUGUUGUUUCCCUAAUUUCUUCUCAGCCUGUUUAUCCUUUGAGUAGAAGAAUGCUACUGAUUUGUUUGAGUUAAUUUUAUAGCCAGCCACUUUGUGGAAGUUGUUUAUUAGGAGGAGUUCUUUGGUGAAAUUUUGGGAUCACUUAAAUAUACUAUCAUAUCAUCUGCAAAUAGUGAUAUUUUAACUUCUUUUAUUCCAAUUUGUAUCCCUUUGACCUCUUUUUUGUUGCCCAAUUCCUCUGACUGGGACUUCAAGCACUCUAUGGAAUAGGAGAUAGUGUACAGCCUUGUAUAGUCCCUGGUUUUAGUGGGAUUGAUUCAAGUUUCUCUCCAUGCAGUUUUAUGUUGACUGCUGAUGUGCUGUAUAUUGCUUUUACUGUGGUUAGGUAUGGGCCUUGAAUUCCUGAUUGUUCCAUGAGUUUUAUCAUAAAGGGGUGUUGAGUUUUAUUAAAUUCUUUCUCAGCAUCUAAUAAGUUGAUCAUGUGUGGUUGUUUUGUUUGUUUGUUUGUUUGUUUGUUUUUGAGUUAGUUUAUAUACUGGCUUAGGUUGAUGCAUUUCCAUAUAUUGAACCAUUCCUGCAUUCCUGGGAUGAACCUACUUGAUCAUGAUGAAUGAUCAUGAUGAAUGAUCAUUUUGAUGUGUUCUUAGAUCCUGCUUGGGAGAAUUUAUUGAAUAUUUUUGCAUCCAUAUUCAUGAGGGAAAUUGGUCUACAGUUCUCUUUUUUGAACUGAAGUUCCCGUUUUUGGUAGGGUCUUCAUGUGGUUUAGGUCUAAGCAUAAUUCAUUUGGGUAGUGUCCCUCUGUUUCUAUUUUGUGGAACAGUUUGAAGAGUAUUGUAUUAGGUCUUCUUUGAAGGCCUAAUAGAAUUCUGCACUAAACUCAUCUGAUCCUGGGCUCUUUUUGUUGGGAGACUUAAUGACUGCUUCUAUUUCUUUAGGUCCUUUGGAAUAUUUUAGAUGGUUUAUCUGAUCCUGUUUAGACUUGGGCACCUGAUUUCUGUCUGGAAAACUGUCCAUAUUAUCCUCCAUAUAUUUCAGUUUUGUUCGGUAUAAGCUAGCUUUUCUAGUAGGAUCCAAUAAUUUUUUGAAUUUCCUCAGUUUCUGUUGUUAUGUCUCCCUUUUCAUUUCUGACUUUGUUAAUUUUGAUACUAUCUCCUGGCACUCUGGUUAGUCUGGCUAAGGAUUUAUCUACCCUUUUGAUUUUUCUCAAAGAACCAGGUCCUGGUUUUGUUGAUUCUUUAUAUAGUUCUUUUUGUUUCUGUUUGGUUGAUUUCAGCCAUGAGUUUGCUGUGUACUCCUCUUUGGUAAUUUGUUUCUUUUUCUCUAGAGCCUUUAGCUGUGCUGUCAAGCUGCUAGUGUAUGCUCUCUCCAGUUUCUUUUUGGAGGCACUCAGAUCUAUAAGUUUUCCUUUUAGCACAGCUUUCACUGUAUCCCAUAAGUUUUGUAUGUUGUGCCUUCAUUUUCAUUAUCUUUAAAUUCUAAAAUGUUUUAGUUGCUUUAUUUCUUCCUUGACUAUGUUAUCAUUGUGUAUAGCAUUGUUCAGCGUCCAUAUUUAUCUGGGCUUUCUGUUUUUUGUUGUUAUUGAAGACCAGCCUUAGUCCGUGGUGAUCAGAUAGCAUGUAUGGGAUUAUUUCAAUUGUCUUGUGUCUGUUGAGGCCUGUUUUGUGACCGAUUAUAUGGUCAGUUUUGGAGAAGGUACCAUGAGUACUGAGAAGAAGAUAUAUUCUUUUGUUUUACAGUGAAAUGUUCUAUACCUGUAUCUGUUAAAUCCACUUGGUUCAUAACUGCUCUUAGUUUCACUGUGUCUCUGUUUGUUUCUGUUUCCAUGGUCUGCUUUGAGCGUUCAUUUUGGAAUAUUUUUCAUUUGAUGAAUAUGAUGUGUACUUCCUUAUCUUUUUUGAUAACUUUUGGUUGAAAGUCCAUUUUAUUCCUUAUUAGAAUGGCUAUUCCACCUUGUUUCUUUGGACCAUUUGUUUGGAAAAUUGUUUUCCAGCCUUUUACUCUGAGAUUGUACUGUCUUUGUCACUGAGGUGUCUUUCCUGUAUGCAGCAAAAUGCUGGGUCCUUUUUAUAUAUCAAAUUAGUUAGUGUAUGUCUUUUUAAUGGGGAAUUGAGUCCAUUGAUAUUAAGAGAUAUUAAGGAAUAGUGAUUGUUGCUUUCUGUUAUUUCUGUUGUUAGAGGUGGAAUUAUGUUUGUGUGUCUCUCUUCUUUUUUGGGUUUGUUGCAAGGAGAUUACUUUCUUGCUUUUCCUACAGUGUCCUUUCCCUCAUUCUGUUGGAGUUUCCCAUUUAUUAUCCUUUGUAGGACUGUAUUUGUGAGAAGAUAUUGCACAAAUUUGUUUUUUAUGGGAUAUCUUGGUUUCAAUAUAUGUUCAUUGAGUGUUUUGCUGGAUAUAGUAGCCUGGGCUGGCAUUUGUGGUUUCUUAGCAUUGGUAUGACAUUUGCCCAUGAUCCUCUGGUUUUCACAGCCUCUGUUGAGAAGUCACAUGUAAUUCUGAUAGGUCUGCCUUUAUAUGUUACUUGACCUUUUUCUUUACUGCUUUUAAUAUUCUUUCUUUGUUUUUGCAUCUGUUAUUUUAAUAUGUGAUGGGAGAAAUUUGUUUUCUUGUGAAAUCUAUUUGGAGUUCUGUAGCCUUCUUGUAUGUUUAUGGGCAUUUCACUUUUUAGGUUAGGGGAAGUUUUCUUCUAUAAUUUUGUUGAAGAUAUUUCCUGGGCCUUUAAGUUGGGAAUCUUUGAUUUCUUCUAUACCUAUUGUCUUUAAGAUUGAUCUUCCAAUUCAUCCUGUAUUUCCUGGAUAUUUUGGGUUAGGAGGUUUUCGCACUUUGCAUUUUUGUUAUUGCUUCAAUUUUCUGUAUGGCCUCUUCUGUCACUGAGAUUCUUUUCUCAAUCUCUUGUAUUCUGUUGAUGCUUGUGUCUGUGACUCCUGAUUUCUUUCCUAGGUUUUCUAUCUCUAGUGUUGUCUCUCUUUGUGAUUUCUUUAUUGUUUCUAUAUCCAUUUUUAGAUCUUGGAUGGUAUUGUUCAAUUCCUUCACCUAUUUCGUUGUGUUUUCCUGUAACUCUUUAAGGGAUUUUUAUGUUUCCUCUUUAAGACCUUGUACUUGUUUACCUGUGUUUUCCUGUAUUUCUUUAAGGGGGUUAUUUAUGUCCUUAAAAUCCUCUGUCAUCAUCCUCAUGAGGUGUGAUUUUAAAUUUCAAUCUUGCUUUUCCAUUGUGUUGUGGUAUCCAGUACUUGCUGUGAUGAGAGAACUGGGUUCUGAUGAUGCCAAAUAGUCUUGGUUUCUGUUGUUUAGGUUCUUGUGCUUGCCUCUUGUCAUCUUGUUAUCUCUGAUGUUAGCUGGUCUCACUCUCUCGAUAGGCACUUUUCCUUCCUGUGGACCUGCGAGCCUUUCAUCUUAGGAGUUAGAAAACUCCUGGGAGACAAACUCUCUCUGGGCUGGUUACAUUGUCCAGAGGUGUGUGGGACAGACCCAGCUCUGGGCACAGAUGGAGACUGAAAGGAUCCUAUCCCAAGCUGCUCCUUGGUUCCUGUAUCCUAUGUGCUCCUGUCUGGUUCAAUUAGUGGAGUGAAAGUUUGGUCUCAUCUGUAGGCUUAAGAGGGAGAACACUCAUGGGAAAACAGCUCUCUCUGGGCAGGUUUUGUGUUUGGAGGGACAACCUUAGCUCUGGGUGCAGAUGGAGACUGGAUGAGAUGGAUACUUCUUAUCAUUACUCUGACUAUGCCCCUUCCCCUUUCAGAAGUUUUGAUGGAAUCUGUAAAAUACAUGUUAUGGCAAUGUGUUUAGUGUACACAUUGGAAUGAAUUAAAAGUAUAUGCACAAUAAAUUGGUUUUUUCCACUUUCACUAUCUUAAUGUAGCUAAUAAUAUUCAAAAUAUUCAUGAAGUCAAACAUCAAUACUGAAGCCAAGCAUUAAUACUGAAGUCAAGCAUUAAUACUGAAGUCAAGCAUUAAUACUGAAGUCAAGCAUUAAUACUGUAGUCAAGCAUUAAUACUGAAGUCAAGCAUUAAUACUGAAGUCAAGCAUUAAUACUGAAGUCAAGCAUUAAUACUGUAGAGAUGGUAUUUAGGGAGAGGGAAACAGAAGGAAAGUAAUUGGAAAGAUGGUAGCAACAAUCAUAAGAAACAGAAAGAGAAGAGAGGGAAAUAGGAGAGGGAGGAAGAUGGAGAGAGAGAGAGAGAGAGAGAGAGAGAGAGAGAGAGAGAGAGAGAGAGAGAAGCAGAGAUGGGGAUAUGAGCCAUAUUGUCAUGCACAUCAUUGAUCAUGGCUGAACUUGUUUUUUGGGGGGGUUCAUUAGCAGAAAAAAAAUCUACUGAGAUGCAGGCAAAACUGAUUCUUCACAUAAUUAUUUGACACUGCACUCUGUCCUAGAAGCCCACUUAAAGUCAAGUCAGCUUUGUCUUGAGACAGAAGAAAGAAGAAGGCUCAAAAGGAGUUGAGAAUUUGAAAAGGUAAAACCAAAAUUUUCUGUAAAUAUAACUCGGGAUAUGCUCAUACUUCAAGGUGCUGUAGAAAGACUCUGGCAGACAUGGAGAACAUAAACUAUUCUUCCUUCUGAGGACUUAGCUUUCCAAUUGUUGGUUAGAUGAUCAUUUUCUACCCUCUUUCGAAUCAUCUAGUCUCUCUUUCCCUGUUUCUCUUUCUGUCUGUCUCUGUCUCUCUGUCUCUUCUCUCUCUCUCUCUCUCUCUCUCUCUCUCUCUCUCUCUCUCUCCACCUCCCUCCCUCUCCUAUUUCCCUCUCUUCUCUUUUUCUGUUUCUUAUGAUUGUUACUACCACCUUUCCAAUUACUUUCCAUUCUGUUUCCCUCUCCCUAAAUACCAUCUCUAUUCCUUAACUGAAUAAAAUUAUAAUCUGCUACACAUAUUUAGCAUAUUCAUUACUGGAAUUUUCUUACCUAAUACUCAAGUUAAUAUUGCUGUUAUUCAUUUUCUCAAAAAUAAAACUAUGUCAAGACAAAACAAUUGUUAUUGCAUGGGUUGGGGGAAGCUUAAAUGCUUACUUUCAUUUUCUAAAGUGGAAAGCAGUUGUAAUAACUGAAAGAAAAAUGCCACUGUGGUCUCAGAACAUAAAUCAGUUUCUGGAAUGGCAAAGAAAAGAAGAACUUUAUAUUAAAAGAAAGAGAGAGGAGGAUCUCAGGGACUAAAGUCAUAAUUAAAAAUAUUACAAUAUCAAUAAAAAAACUAGAAAAUUAAGUGAGUAUUGAGACCCCUCUUUCUGACCCUGGUCUUUCCCAUUUAUACCUAGACUCAGGUGUUAUUACAAUACAGUCCAAAGAAAUUCUGAAGUACACACAUGGCCACUUUAUACUAUGUCUUGUUUCAGUAGGUUGAGAAUGAUAUAAGGAGGUUUUGGUGCUAGCCUGCCUGUGCUUCUUCUUUUCCCAUACAAAGAAUAUUCUUUUGGGGGGAACAUUCUUUAAUUUGAUCACCUUCUCUCUAUGUAGUUAAAGAGUGGGGCUGGAAUGCAAAAGCAAAAGGGGAAAGAGGCGUAAGCAUGAACGAAUGCACAAACAGCUUCAGAAAGAUCUGGAUUCAGUUUAGCAGAGAAACUACACUUAGCUCUUCUCCUGUUGUAUGUGCAUCUGGGUGUCUGUCCCCCACAAGCACAGCAGAAAAAUCCCCACUUUCUGUGGUGGAAGUAAUGCACAGCAGAAACUGCCUUUGUGCUCCUGGAUAUUAAUGCUAAUGUUGAAGAGUUAAAUAUAGCACAAAGCAAGUGUGUCGGAAGGAAAAAUACCGAAGCAACUAGCUUUACACUGCAAGGGGUUAGGUAGAGCAGGCAAGAUGUUAUUAUUGAACACUAGAAUAAACUGCAGAAAUGGUAGGCUGUUAAGAGAAGAUGGGUUAGAGAGAUGGGACUCAGUCACCCUAACCUAAUGUCUUCAGUACCAAUGGAAACACAAGAAUAUCCAACACUAGGGUUUGGAUGAAGUGUCUUGAAUAAUGACACAGACCUGUCAUUAUUAUGUAUAAUGGUUAAAUGAUAUUAAAAUGAUGAUUAAUAAGAUGUCAAAAAGAAAUAUGCCCCACUCCCCUUAAUUUGCUAGUAAAUUCAGUAAGUCAUAAUACAUUCAAAUUCUAUUAUUCUGCCUAUCUCUCAUUGCCUAAUUAUGAAACACAAUUUUUGAAGAAAUCUAGAAGAAAUGCUUUAGGGGUGUGUUAGCUAUUUUUAUUAUUACAGUGACAAACAUAUGGUAAAAGAACUCAAGAGGAAAGGGUAUAUGCAUUUUUGAAUAGCUAUCUCAUCUUGGUAGAGAAAGAAUAGUGGGCUAUGUGCGGGUGAGCCUGUCAUUCUUCACUUGCAGUCAGGAAUCAGAGAGAGAUAAAAGGUGAUGCUCAUGUGUCUCCCACCUUUAUAUUCAGUCUGACGCCUCAGCCUUGAGAGUGAAUCCCCCAUAUUUUUUGCUACUACAGGUCAUUCCCAACGAUAUUAAUUGUGGUAAAUGACCAGCUGUACACCAUGUUCACCUAUGCCCUGGAGCUAUGGUGAACCCUCUCUGUUUCUCCAUAAACUAGAGCAGCUGACUUUAUCUAUGCCUGUUCAUAGCUUUAUCUCAGCAGCCACUAUAUCUUUAGCUAAUAGGCCUGUCCCCAGGGCUUAGGACAUUCAUUGGCACACAGGAAAUGUUCAGGAAAUCUUUGGAAUAUCAGCAUGGAUAUUAUGCCCAGCUAAGUAGAUACUUCUACAAGUAAAUGCUUCUACAAAUAAAAGUCACUAAAUGCUAUAAAAUGUAAUAACAAUUCUUUCAGGUUUUACAAUACUGAAUGGUAACUGAACCCAUACAGUCUCUCAUUUACUAUCUGGGAAUACUAUAUCUCAUUUACUAUAUACAAGUCACUGGAUCUCUUUAUCUUUUUUUAAUUUUACUUUUCAUGGAUAUUUUAUGUAUUUACAUUUCAAAUGCUAUUCCCUCCCCUCCCCAUUAUAACCCCUCUCCCUCCCCCUCCCCCUGCUUCUAUAAGGAUGCUCCUACUCUCACUCACCCACUCCAACCUCAGCACCCUGUACUACCCUACAUUGGGGAAAUGAGCCUUUGCAGAACCAAGGACUUUUCCUCCUAUUGAUGCUAGACAAUGCCAUCCUCUGCUACAUAUGUGGCUGGAGUCAUGGGUCCCUCCAUGUGUACUCAUUGGUUGGUGGUUUAGUCCCUAGGAGCUCUGGUGGUAUCUGGGUGCUAGGUAUUAUUGUUCUUCCUAUGGGGUUACAAACCCCUUCAGCUUCUUCAGUCAUUUUCCUAACUCCUCCAUUUGGGUCCCCUUGUUCAGUCCAAUGGUUAGCUGCAACCAUCCUCAUCUGUAUCAGUAGGGUUCUGCCAUAGCCUCUCAGAAGACACCCAUAUCUGGCUCCUGUCAGCAAGCACUUCUUGGCAUUAGCAAUAGUGACUGGAUGUGGUGGCUGCAUUUGGGAUGGAUCCCCAGGUGGGGAGUCUCUGGAUGGCCUUUUCCUGAGUCCCUACUCCACUCUUGGUCUCUGUAUUUCCUCCCAUGAGUAUUUUGUUCUCCCUUCUAAGAAGGAAUGAACCAUCCACAUGUUGGUUUUCCUUCUUCUUGAGCUUCAUGUGGUCUGUGGAUUGUAAUUUGAGCUUAUGGGCUAAUAUCCACUCAUCAGUGAAUGCAUAUCAUGUGUGUUCUUUUGUGACUGUGUUACUUCAUUUAGGAUGAUAUAUUCCAGUUCAAUCCAUUUGCCUAAUGAUUUCAUGUUGUCAUUGUUUUAAUAGCUGAGUAGUACUCCAUUGUGUAAACGUACAUUUUCUGUAUUGAUUUCUCUGUUGGAGGACAUCUGGGAUCUUUCCAGCUUCUGGCUAUUAUAAGAAAGGCUGCUAUGAACAUAGUUGAGUACAUGUCCUUGUUAUAUGUUAAAGCAUCUUUUGUACGUAUUCCCAGGAGUUCUUAGGUAGAACUAUGUCUAAUUUUCUGAGGAUCCACCAGACUAAUUUCCAGAGUGGUUGUACCAGCUUGAAAUCCCACCAACAAAGGAGGACUCUUCCUCUUUAUCCACAUCCUAGCUAGCAUCUGUUGUGCCUGAGUUUUUUAUCUUAGCCAUUCUGAUUUAUGUAAGGUGGUAUCUCAGAAUUGUUUUGAUUUGCAUUUCUUUGACAACUAAAUGUUCUCUGUUGAACAUUUCUUUAGGUGCCUCUCAGUACUCCUCAGUUGAGAAUUCUUUGUUUAGCUCUGUACCCCAUUUUUAAUAGGAUUAUUUGAUUCUCUUGAGUCUAACUUCUUGAGUUCUUUGUAUAUAUUAGAUAUUAGCCCUCUAUCAGAUGUAGGAUUGGUGAAGAUCUUUUCCCAAUCUGUUGGUUGCCAGUUUUUGUCCUAUUGACAGUGUCCUUUGCCUUAUAGAAGCUUUGUAAUUUUAUGAGAUCUCAUUUGUUGAUUCUUGGUCUUAAAGCAUAAGUCAUUGGUGUUAUGUUCAAGAAAUUGUCCCCUAUGCCUAUGUGUUUAAGGCUCUCCCCUCUUCUCUUCUAUUAGUUUUAGUGUAUCUGGUUUUAUGUAGAGGUCUUCUAUCCACUUGGACUUGAGUGUUGUACAAGGAGAUAAGAAUGGGUCAGUUUGCGUUCUUCUACAUGCUGACCUCCAGUUGAAUCAGCAACAUUUGUUGAAACUGCUGUCUUUUUUUCCAUUUGAUAGUUUUAGCUCCUUUGUCACAGAUCAAGUGACCAUAGGUGUGUGGGUUUAUAUCUGGUUCUUCAAGUUUAUUCUAUUGAUCUACUUGCCUUUUUCUGUACCAAUAUCAUGCAGUUUUUAUAACGAUUGUUCUGUAAUACAGCUUGAGGUCAAGGAUGGUGAUUCUUCCAGAAGUUCUUUUAUUGUUGAGAAUAGUUUUUGCUAUCCUCUUUUUUUAAUUCCAAAUAAAUUUGCAAAAUGCUCUUUCUAACUCUAUGAAGAAUUGAAUUGGAAUUUUGCUGAGGAUCGCAUUGAAUCCGUAGAUUGUUUUUGGCAAGAUUGCCAUCUCAGUGUUCCUGUAAAAAAGAAUUCAAAGUUACCACUCAAUCUCUUUCAUAUGGGCACGGUAAUGUUUAAAGCUUCCUUGAAUAGGCAUGGUAAUGCUCAACCCUACUCCCACGAUUCCACACUAUGGGAUAUGAAUGAAUUCAAAGUUAGCUCAGACUACAUAGAAAAACUCUAUCCCAAAAGUAAAGGAAAUCAAACCAGGCAGUGAAUUAUUGUAACAGUAAUGGAAAAAUAAUUAAUAACCAACAGAUACUACAUAUACAAACAUUGGGUUUGAAUUCUACGUGCACAAAACAAGAGGUAAGAGCUUUUCCCCAAAGUCAUAUCUGGUGCAAGGAUAUUUAACUAAAAUAUAGUUUGGUAGCUAUUUACUCAACAGAAAUGAAGUACUUCUGUAAGCUCUCCCUUGGAACCAAAUUGUGUUAGAUAAUGAGUAUAAUUGGGGAGAGACUAUUCAUUUAAAAGAAAAUCAACAAGUGAGCAACUAUUGUUUAAGGAAAAGAAAAGUCCAUGAAGGAAAGACAGUCUGGAUCAAGGUUGUGAAUUUACAAGGACUUUGAGUCAAGACAUCAAGACAAGGAUAGCUAAGAGAAUAAGCUUAAAUGUGGUCCCUUCAUCAAGGGUCAAUUGUCUGGAAAGGUGAUGGCCUAAUGCUCACAAGAAAUUGUGCAACUUAGUGGAUCCUAGAAAUAAGAGAGCCAGUGUCAGUGACAAGCUGAGUGCACCAGAAUAUGCUGUUUGAGGCUUAAAGAUGAUUCUCAAUUUCAAGAUAGAAAAAGUGCUGGAAGGAAUAAUAAACAGAGGCUUAUUAUGGGCACAUGAGGAUAAAAUGUAGGAAUGGUAUAAUUAUUAGAAGAAAGACAGAUCGAAGCCUUUAAAAAAGUGGAAAGUUUGCCUGCUUUCAAUGAAACCAAUUGCUAGUUGAACUGAAAUAGGACAGAAUAGAGCAUUAGGGACAUAACAUUUCAAUUCAUUAAGUCUUUAGGGCCCAAAUUUUAUUUUGCUCUUAAGCUAACAGUAUAAGUGAUUAAUUUCAAUCCUAUGGUGUGUAGUUGACAGUACUCUUGUGCAUUAUGUUUUGACGCUACCUGUCUCACCAAGUUAGGCUAACAGUAAAAACAGGCAACAAAGAAACUGGGCAACAGCCAACAAUCAUACUGUAUAGAAGUAAAAGCAAGAGAAGAUGAAGACAAAGAUGAAGUAUGAGAGGAGGAGGAGGAAGAAGAGAAUGAGGAGAAGAAAAAGAAAAGAAGAAAAAGAUGAAGAAGAUGAAGAAGAAAAGGAAGAUGAGGAAGCAGCAGGAGCAGCAGCAGCAGCAAGAGCAGCAGCAAGAGCAGCAGGAGCAGCAGGAGCAGCAGCAGCGGGAGCAACAACAGUAGACCAACAUAGACCACAGGGAGAAAAAAAACUAAAGUGCAAUGAAUAAUGAAUAAAUGAAUAACAAUCUUCAGACUCAAGAAAGGUUAACUACUUGACGUUAAUAGAGAUUAUAUAUGUGUGGUGGUUUGAAUAGAUUUGGCUUCUACAUAUUCACAUGUUUGAAUGUUAGGCCGUAAAAGUAGUAUUUCCGGCCUUAUUGGGAGAGAUGUGGCAUUGUUGGAGCAAGUGUGCCACUGUGGAGGUGAACUUUGAGGCCUGCUAUGCUCAGGUUUUGCCCAAUAUGGAAGAUAGUCUCCUUCUGGCUGCCUUUGGAUCAAGAUGUAGAGAACACGUGGCUCCUCCAACAUCAUGUCUGCCUGUAUGCUGGCCACCAUGCUUCUUGCCAUGAAGAUAAUGGACUGAAACUGUAAAAUUGUAAACCAGUCCAAAUUAAAUGAUCACCUUUAUAAGAGUCGUGUCUCUUCACAGCAAUACAACACCCACUAGUCUUCACAAAAGACUAGUACUUAGAAAAGGUACAGAAAACAAGCCAUCCAUUUUCCCCAACUAGGAAUCUGGGUAAUUACCUAAGAGGAUAAAAAGAGUUUACAAAUUAGAGCAAGGUUUCUGAAAUUUCCUCUGUAAGGCCAUAGAGCAGUGGUUUUCAACUUUCCUAAUGCUGUGAGUCAUUAAUAGGAUUCAUAUUGUGGCGACCCCAACCAUAAAAUUAUUUCACUGCUAUUUUACAACUGUACUUUUCACUAUUAUGAAUUAUAAUUUAUUGUUAUGAACUAUAAUGUUAUAAACACUAAUGCAGGAUAUCUGAUAACCCCAAAGGGGUUGCUACUCACAGGUGAAGAACUGCUACUUAAAGGGAUGUUGAAAAUAAAACUGACUCUACAAGCUACCUGAAGCAAACUUCUGGAAAGGAGAGAUCAGAAGCAAACACCAAAAGGAAGAGAAAUACUACUUAAGUCAAUAAAACACAGCCCAAAGGCUUAGUGCAUCCCUGUACUGGCUAAUAGGCUUCUGCUGAGUAAUUUGCACAGGAAAGAUUCUGAUGUUACUGUAUUAGCACAGGACAGCCUUAAAGACAGUGCUCCAAAAGAAAUAUGAUAAGGGGAAAGCUUUUAAAUCUAAGGUGUGAGCUUAGUGAUCAAGACAUUACAAAAUGCUAUGGGACAAUAAAGGGCUCUGAGCAUUCAGGUUUUAUGUUCUGUUUCAUCACCAACUUUAUACAGAUGUGCUAUUGUUUGGUCUUAAUUCUUUAAUUCAAUCUUCAGUCUUUUUGGUGUUCAGAUGAUUCAAAUAUAGAUACUAAUUAGAAUUGCUUACAGUCAUAGUUACUCUUCCCAUCAAUGGUCUUGCUUUCCUGCAUGGCUUUAGGAAUUCUCAGAUGCCAGGCAACUGCUGUGAUCUGAAAGAUGUCAAAAUCAUGACUCACUUAUGUCACCUCCAUGUGGUGCUACUGAAUGGGAAUUAUCAUUUUUGAUCUCAGUUUUGCCAAAUGUUUGAAAUCUAGGAAUCCAUGAAUUUGUGGCCAGACUAUGGCCCCAUGUUUGAAUGACAGGUAUAAAAAGCUUAGAAAGCAUCUAAAAAUGUCAGGGAAACUUUAACAAAAGUAAGAUUAAAAUUAUAACACAAUCACUCUUAAUCAGCCUUGAAUUUGUUAAUUUUAGCUACACUGAAGAUUCAUAAUCAGUCUAAAUUUGACUACAGUGAGGAAUAAACCCAUAAGAAGACACAUUUAAAAACUAGCCUAGAGAAGAAAAAUAAGCGACUAAGAAAUACCUUUAAAAUGUUCAUUGUCCCCAGUGUUAGAGGAAUGAAAAUCAAAACAACUUUGAGAUUUCAAUAUAACCCCUAUCAGCAUCACAAAUAUUAACAAAGUAAUGGACAACAAAUGCAGGAGAAGAGCUAGGAUAAAGAAAACCCUCGUCUACUAUUGAUGGGAUUAUAAACUGGUCCAGCAACUCUGGAAAUUAGUGUGAGACAAUUCUGAAGCUAAAACUAAAUCUUGCAUGUGAUCCCGUUAUAGUACUACUUGGCAUUUGCCCAGAGGACUUGGAAUUCUAUGUUGCCGAUACUUGUUCAACCAUGUUCACUGUCACUCUCUUCCUACAAGGUAGGGAACAGAAACAUCCUAAAUGUCCUUCCACUAAUACAUGGAGAAUGGCAAUUCUACCCUGGAGUACUGUAAAGACAAGUGACAUCAUAAAAUUUACUGAUAAAUGAAUAGAACUAGUAAAACUUAGGUAUAAGUAAGGUAGCACAGACCCAGAAAGAUGAACAUCACAUGUUCUUUGUCCUGUGUGGCUCACAAUGCCAAAUAUUCAGAUAAGAUUAUAUAAUCCGGCUCUGCUCCCAGACCCGGUGAAAGAGAGACCCAACCGCCUGGUCAGGUGGGCACUCCUGAGGCUGCAGAGCGGAAGAGACCACCAACACUGCUCACCCCUGCCCACAUCCCUGGCCCAGGAGGAAACUGUAUAAGGCCUCUGGGCUCCCGUGGGGGAGGGCCCAGGAGCGGCAGGACACCUGCCUGAGACACCGCCGGAACCUGAAAGAAACAGACCUGAUAAACAGUUCUCUGCACCCAAAUCCCGUGGGAGGGAGAGCUAAACCUUCAGAGAGGCAGACAAGCCUGGGAAACCAGAAGAGACUGCUCCCUGCACACACAUCUCGGACGCCAGAGGAAAAAGCCAAAGACCAUCUGGAACCCUGGUGCACUGAAGCUCCCGGAAGGGGCGGCACAGGUCUUCCUGGUUGCUGCCGCUGCAGAGAGCCCCUGGGCAGCACCCCACGAGCGAACCUGAGCCUCGGGACCACAGGUAAGACCAAAUUUUCUGCUGCAAGAAAGCUGCCUGGUGAACUCAAGACACAGGCCCACAGGAACAGCUGAAGACCUGUAGAUAGGAAAAACUACACGCCCGAAAGCAGAACACUCUGUCCCCAUAACUGACUGAAAGAGAGGAAAACAGGUCUACAGCACUCCUGACACACAGGCUUAUAGGACAGUCUAGCCACUGUCAGAAAUAGCAGAACAAAGUAACACUAGAGAUAAUCUGAUGGCGAGAGGCAAGCGCAGGAACCCAAGCAACAGAAACCAAGACUACAUGCCAUCAUCGGAGCCCAAUUCUCCCACCAAAACAAACAUGGAAUAUCCAAACACACCAGAAAAGCAAGAUCUAGUUUCAAAAUCAUAUUUGAUCAUGAUGCUGGAGGACUUCAAGAAAGACAUGAACACACUUAGGGAAGCACAGGAAAACAUUAAUAAACAAGUAAAAGCCUACAGAGAGGAAUCGCAAAAAUCCCUGAAAGAAUUCCAGGAAAACACAAUCAAACAGUUGAAGGAAUUAAAAAUGGAAAUAGAAGCAAUCAAGAAAGAACACAUGGAAACAACCCUGGAUAUA